rnacentral:lncRNA from 1 species
GGCAGAUAGUGGAGGGGAUGCAGUCCCAGAAAUAGCUGUGCCAACCAAGUGUGAGUUAAUUUUUUGUUAAGAUCAUUCAUUCAUUGUUGAAUUUUGUCCGAUUACAUCAUUAACUUAUGAUUUAUUCAUCUGCAGUCAAUCAUUUUGAGCUCAAAUAGUCGGAGUUGGCCAUUGUUAAGGCCAUCUACCAGUUUCCCUCAAGAUGAAGUACUUCAAAAACGUGCUUGGUAAGCAAACCCUUUUUGUGACACACUUAUUAAUGGUGACAAAGGGUAAGUGUUUACAUCUCGCCAUCCCUUGUUGAAGUGAUGCUUAGAUUUAUUUUUUUUACCGUGUUAGUGGCUUACCUUUUCAUUUGCAGAUCGACAAACUAACAAGGAAUAUGUCAAGCCGGACAUGUUCUUCAUAAGAUGCCUAGGAAAGGCCAAACAAAAGAAGCCACAAAGCUCCAGCUCUUCACAUAUAAAAAUCAGAGUUACGAGCUGUCUCACCUUUUGAAGAUGAACCCAUCAUUUCUCCCAAAGAAAAAAAGAGACAAGAAGGGAAAGAAAAAGGUUGAGUCUGUGGGAAGGACCCAGAAGAGAAAGCUGACCUUAACAAAGAAUAUUGAGCCUACUAUAACCACAAGUGCCAAACAACGAUUGACGAAUCACUAAAGACGCCUAUUGAGGCAGACCUUAUUGCCUCCAUAAAGAUAAUAAAGGUGGAAAAGAAAGAGGGUAAGGAGGCCAGCAGAAGUGAUCCUUCUAAAGGAAAGCCCAAAAUUUCUUAGGAGGCAGUUUUGGAGGUACUCCCUACCAUGGUCCAGGUGGCUAUGAGAGUUCAUUAUAAGUAUUGGACUGAUAAAUAUUCAUCUUAUGCUGAAACAUAUUAUUAAGUUGACAUAUUGAAAACUGGCUUCGCCCUAUAAGCUUUUUCUUAAAUGCCCAAAAGGAUAUAAAGAGACUGUAGAAGCUAAAUAAAUUUUUUUGUCAGAAAGCAGCUGUUGUGGAGGCUGAGGCCUAAGGCCUCUACUAUUGAUGAGGUCAUUGGGGAACCAUCAAGAUGAGACACAUUAAAGCAGAGUCAUGGAUUAGGCUCCUCAUUAUUGAAAAUGGUGAAGUGAAGAAAUAACUCCACAUUUACAAAGAUUGGAUGAAUGCCAUGAUGAAGAGGGACGAGAAUUCUGAAAACUUGCAAAAGAUAGCUUCAUUGGCCUUGGAGGUGGCCAAUAAACAGAAUGGGAAGCAAAUGCUCAAGUGGAUGAGCUGACUCUGAGGUUGCCUAUCUGAGACAAUAGCUGAGUGGGACAAGGGAGAAAGACAUGAACAACAAUGUGGCACACUUCCACGAAACGAUUAAGUCUAACGGCCUCAUUUUUACUGGAAAAAGGUCGCUUAUAAUAAAGCUUUGGAAUGAUGGCUGAGCUGUCUACUUAAGUGGAUUUAGCCUAUGUGAAGGAGAUGUUACUCUCAGUAGAGUAGUCUACUUCUACAGAUGAUGUUGAAAGUUCUAAUGGCAGAGAGAGCCAAACGGAGCCUCAACAGGAUGAAGCUGGUCCAUAGACAUUGGCUUUUAAUUUGUCUUGUUCAUUAUGUAGUUUCCUUUUGUAAUCAGUUAG